GACGAACGCUGGCGGCGCGCCUAACACAUGCAAGUCGAACGAUCGAGAGAGAGCUUGCUUUCUCGAGCGAGUGGCGAACGGGUGAGUAACGCGUGAGGAACCUGCCUCAAAGAGGGGGACAACAGUUGGAAACGACUGCUAAUACCGCAUAAGCCCACGACCCGGCAUCGGGUAGAGGGAAAAGGAGCAAUCCGCUUUGAGAUGGCCUCGCGUCCGAUUAGCUAGUUGGUGAGGUAACGGCCACCAAGGCGACGAUCGGUAGCCGGACUGAGAGGUUGAACGGACACAUUGGGACUGAGACACGGACGAGAAUACUACGGGAGGGAGCAGUGGGGAAUAUUGCAAAAUGGGGGAAAGCAUGAUGAAGCGACGAGGCGUGGAGGAAGAAGGUAGUCGGAUAGUAAACUCCUGUUGUUGAGGAAGAUAAUGACGGUAAUAAACAAGGAAGUGACGGCUAACUACGUG
rnacentral:rRNA from 1 species